rnacentral:rRNA from 1 species
AACGAACGCUGGCGGCAUGCCUAACACAUGCAAGUCGAACGAGAUCUUCGGGUCUAGUGGCGCACGGGUGCGUAACGCGUGGGAAUCUGCCCUUUGGUUCGGAAUAACAGUUGGAAACGACUGCUAAUACCGGAUGAUGACGAAAGUCCAAAGAUUUAUCGCCAGAGGAUGAGCCCGCGUAGGAUUAGCUAGUUGGUGUGGUAAACGCUCACCAAGGCGACGAUCCUUAGCUGGCCUGAGAGGAUGAUCAGCCACACUGGGACUGAGACACGGCCCCGACUCCUACGGGAGGCAGCAUUGGGGAAUAUUGGACAAUGGGCGAAAGCCUGAUCCAGCAAUGCCGCGUGAGUGAUGAAGGCCUUAGGGUUGUAAAGCUCUUUUACCCGGGAUGAUAAUGACAGUACCGGGAGAAUAAGCGCCGGCUAACUCCGUGCCAGCCGCCGCCGUAA